UACGUAGGGUGCGAGCGUUGUCCGGAAUUACUGGGCGUAAAGAGCUCGUAGGUGGUUUGUCGCGUCGUCUGUGAAAUUCCGGGGCUUAACCUCGGGCGUGCAGGCGAUACGGGCAAUACUUGAGUGCUGUAGGGGAGACUGGAAUUCCUGGUGUAGCGGUGAAAUGCGCAGAUAUCAGGAGGAACACCAAUGGCGAAGGCGGGUCUCUGGGUAGUAACUGACGCUGAGGAGCGAAAGCAUGGGUAGCGAACAGGAUUAGAUACCCU
rnacentral:rRNA from 1 species